rnacentral:rRNA from 1 species
GGGACCCGCACAAGCAGCGGAGCGUGUGGUUUAAUUCGUUGCUACACGAAGAACCUUACCUGGGUUUGACAUAUAAGUUGUAGGGAACUGAAAAGGGACCGACCCUUCGGGGAGCCUAUACAGGUGUUGCAUGGCUGUCGUCAGCUCGUGUCGUGAGAUGUUCGGUUAAGUCCGCUAACGAGCGCAACCCUCGUCGUAUGUUAUAUGUGUCAUACGAGACUGCCGGUAAAAGCCGGAGGAAGGUGAGGAUGAUGUCAAGUCAGCAUGACCUUUAUAUCCAGGGCUACACACACGCUACAAUGGUCUGUACAAUGGGUAGCCAAGCCGCGAGGCGGAGCCAAUCCUGAAAGCAGGCCUCAGUUCAGAUUGCAGUCUGCAACUCGACUGCAUGAAGCCGGAGUUGCUAGUAACCGCAGGUCAGCAAUACUGCGGUGAAUACGUUCCCGGGUCUU